rnacentral:rRNA from 1 species
CCUACGGGAGGCAGCAGUAGGGAAUAUUGGUCAAUGGGGGAAAGCCUGAAGCAGCAACGCCGCGUGGAGGAAGAAGGCUUUCGGAUUGUAAACUCCUUUUGUCAGAGAAGAUAAUGACGGUAUCUAACGAAUAAGCACCGGCUAACUCCGUGCCAGCAGCGGCGGGAAUACGGCGGGUGCAAGCGUUACUCGGAAUCACUGGGCGUAAAGAGCGCGUAGGCGGGUUAGCAAGUCAGAUGUGAAAUCCUAUGGCUUAACCAUAGAACUGCAUUUGAAACUGUUGUUCUUGAGUAUGGGAGAGGAAGGUGGAAUUCUUGGUGUAGGGGUGAAAUGCGUAGAGAUCAAGAGGAAUACUGAUUGCGAAGGCGGCCUGCUAGAACAUAACUGACGCUGAUGCGCGAAAGCGUGGGGAGCAAACAGGAUUAGAUACCCCAGUAGUC